GGGAUGUGGCUCAGUAGUAGAGUGCUUGCCUAGCAUGCAUGAGGCCCUGGGUUCAAUCCCCAAAACACUCCC
rnacentral:tRNA from 1 species